UACGUAGGGUGCAAGCGUUAAUCGGAAUUACUGGGCGUAAAGCGUGCGCAGGCGGGUUUGUAAGUCUGUCGUGAAAUCCCCGGGCUCAACCUGGGAAUUGCGAUGGAGACUGCAAGGCUAGAAUCUGGCAGAGGGGGGUAGAAUUCCGCGUGUAGCAGUGAAAUGCGUAGAUAUGUGGAGGAACACCGAUGGCGAAGGCAGCCCCCUGGGUCAAGAUUGACGCUCAUGCACGAAAGCGUGGGGAGCAAACAGG
rnacentral:rRNA from 1 species